rnacentral:rRNA from 1 species
AGUCCGGAUUGGAGUCUGCAACUCGACUCCAUGAAGUCGGAAUCGCUAGUAAUCGUGGAUCAGAAUGCCACGGUGAAUACGUUCCCGGGCCUUGUACACACCGCCCGUCACACCAUGGGAGUGGGUUACAAAAGAAGUAGGUAGCUUAACCUUCGGGAGGGCGCUUACCACUUUGUGAUUCAUGACUGGGGUGAAGUCGUAACAAGGUAACCGUAGGGGAACCUGCGGUUGGAUCACCUCCUUA